ensembl:lncRNA
GUCACCAGUUAAACCGGUCACCACUUGAACUGAAACACCGGUCAUUCAGCUGUUCAGCACCCAGGCUCUGGAACUCCCUACCCCCACACAUAAAACAGUCAGACACCAUUACAACCUUCAAGUCACAACUCACCUGUUCAAACUCGCACACAACGUCUAACUGAGGCCUGUUUCAGGUAGCUGGUUUAACAUACUCUGAGUUUAAUCCUGCGCUCUGAGUUGGUUGACUCAGAGUUCAGGGUUGAAAAGCAACUCUGGGUUUUCGGUUUCAGAACAGGUGAUCAGCGUUGGGUUAAUCAACUCUGAGUAUGUUCACUCUGGGUUGAGGGCGUGCCUGUUGACUAUGAAGAGCCAUCAUCAAUGGAUCUCUGAUAACAUGAUCAAACAUGGACCAAAAGCGUAGAUCCACUUACUUUUCCCCCACGGAAUUGGAAAUUCUAAUGAACGUGUAUGCCGAGCAGUUACCCAUUUUAACAAAAAAAAGCAAUACCGCCGCGGCAGCGAGAGCGCGAGAGAGAGCUUGGCAGGAAAUAGCUGAAAUGCUUACGCAACCGAGUUGCCCCACGAGGACUUGGCAGCAAAUGAAGUACAAAAAUAUAGUUUAAACAGCAAAUCGAAAAAAUGCAGAGGCCCGGCAGACUGGAGGGGGUCCACCACCUGCAGCCCUCACAGAGGCUGAGGAGAUGGCCCUCAGCCAACAGAGUAUGCGUCCUGUGGCUGAGGGCAUCCCUGGGGGGAGCUCCUCUGAUCCCCCCAACCCCCCAGGAUAGAAGUGCCUUUACAGUAUAAGAGUUACUGAUGGCGUCAUCGCCCUACUUGAACCAGAUGCCCUCACCAACCUCCAUGCAAUUGUAACAAUUCAAAAGAUGCAAAAGGAUGCUUUGGAGAUCCAAAU